rnacentral:rRNA from 1 species
UACGUAGGGGGCAAGCGUUGUCCGGAAUCAUUGGGCGUAAAGCGCGUGUAGGCGGUUACGUAAGUCUGCUGUGAAAGUCGGAGGCUCAACCUUCGAAAGCCGGUGGAUACUGCGUGACUAGAGUACGGAGGAGGAGAGUGGAAUUCCUGGUGUAGCGGUGAAAUGCGCAGAUAUCAGGAGGAACACCAACGGCGAAGGCAGCUCUCUGGGACGUUACUGACGCUGAGACGCGAAAGCGUGGGGAGCAAACAGG